rnacentral:rRNA from 1 species
AAUACCGCAUACGUCCUACGGGAGAAAGCAGGGGACCUUCGGGCCUUGCGCUAUCAGAUGAGCCUAGGUCGGAUUAGCUAGUUGGUGAGGUAAUGGCUCACCAAGGCGACGAUCCGUAACUGGUCUGAGAGGAUGAUCAGUCACACUGGAACUGAGACACGGUCCAGACUCCUACGGGAGGCAGCAGUGGGGAAUAUUGGACAAUGGGCGAAAGCCUGAUCCAGCCAUGCCGCGUGUGUGAAGAAGGUCUUCGGAUUGUAAAGCACUUUAAGUUGGGAGGAAGGGCAGUUACCUAAUACGUGAUUGUUUUGACGUUACCGACAGAAUAAGCACCGGCUAACUCUGUGCCAGCAGCCGCGGUAAUACAGAGGGUGCAAGCGUUAAUCGGAAUUACUGGGCGUAAAGAGCGCGUAGGUGGUUUGUUAAGUUGGAUGUGAAAUCCCCGGGCUCAACCUGGGAACUGCAUCCAAAACUGGCAAGCUAGAGUAUGGUAGAGGGUGGUGGAAUUUCCUGUGUAGCGGUGAAAUGCGUAGAUAUAGGAAGGAACACCAGUGGCGAAGGCGACCACCUGGACUSAUACUGACACUGAGGUGCGAAAGCGUGGGGASCAAACAGGAUUAGAUACCCUGGUAGUCCACGCCGUAAACGAUGUCAACUAGCCGUUGGGAGCCUUGAGCUCUUAGUGGCGCAGCUAACGCAUUAAGUUGACCGCCUGGGGAGUACGGCCGCAAGGUUAAAACUCAAAUGAAUUGACGGGGGCCCGCACAAGCGGUGGAGCAUGUGGUUUAAUUCGAAGCAACGCGAAGAACC